GAUGAACGCUGGCGGCGUGCCUAAUACAUGCAAGUCGAGCGAACAGACGAGGAGCUUGCUCCUUUGACGUUAGCGGCGGACGGGUGAGUAACACGUGGGUAACCUACCUAUAAGACUGGGAUAACUUCGGGAAACCGGAGCUAAUACCGGAUAAUAUUUCGAACCGCAUGGUUCGAUAGUGAAAGAUGGCUCUGCUAUCACUUAUAGAUGGACCUGCGCCGUAUUAGCUAGUUGGUAAGGUAACGGCUUACCAAGGCAACGAUACGUAGCCGACCUGAGAGGGUGAUCGGCCACACUGGAACUGAGACACGGUCCAGACUCCUACGGGAGGCAGCAGUAGGGAAUCUUCCGCAAUGGGCGAAAGCCUGACGGAGCAACGCCGCGUGAGUGAUGAAGGUCUUCGGAUCGUAAAACUCUGUUAUUAGGGAAGAACAAACGUGUAAGUAACUGUGCACGUCUUGACGGUACCUAAUCAGAAAGCCACGGCUAACUACGUGCCAGCAGCCGCGGUAAUACGUAGGUGGCAAGCGUUAUCCGGAAUUAUUGGGCGUAAAGCGCGCGUAGGCGGUUUUUUAAGUCUGAUGUGAAAGCCCACGGCUCAACCGUGGAGGGUCAUUGGAAACUGGAAAACUUGAGUGCAGAAGAGGAAAGUGGAAUUCCAUGUGUAGCGGUGAAAUGCGCAGAGAUAUGGAGGAACACCAGUGGCGAAGGCGACUUUCUGGUCUGUAACUGACGCUGAUGUGCGAAAGCGUGGGGAUCAAACAGGAUUAGAUACCCUGGUAGUCCACGCCGUAAACGAUGAGUGCUAAGUGUUAGGGGGUUUCCGCCCCUUAGUGCUGCAGCUAACGCAUUAAGCACUCCGCCUGGGGAGUACGACCGC
rnacentral:rRNA from 1 species